AGUCAGUCAGUCAGAAGAACUCUCUCAGACGGACACCACUUUAUUAAAGUAAGUUCUAUUAUUUAUUUAUGUUCGCUUCAUACGUGAUAUAUCUUCACUAGAUAGACUAUUUUUGUUUACAAUAUGUAGCCAUUGCAAUGACUUGUAGUAAAUAUUAGUUUGGAGGAGGUUGGUGGAGUAAGUUAACAGUCAGUCAAGCUCAUAAAGAAAAACACAGCGUUUUAAAAAUGUCAGCUGUUUAACGUUAUUUCACGUUUGGUAGUUUUAUCCGAGUUGAAAACUGUCAGCUUUGAGUUGACUUUUGAGGCACUUUUUACUCAGCUGUUCUAUGGAAACGUAUAAGGACAAAUAAAACGCUAACCAAAAGUUAUUCUGUCCAGAGUAACGUUAUCCAUGUAAGUAAUUUACCAGAUGAUAUCAAUUGACUAAAUUAAUAAUGACAUUGCGUAUGAAACAAACGGUCUGCUUAAUCAGAUUAUCAGACCCGCGUCAGUUAUUCAUGACUUCGCUAUGCCACGAGCAACACUUGAUUCUAUUAGAAAAAGCUUUUUUAAAUGUCUCGCGUGACGUCUGGUAUAUUAACUGAAAAACAAAUAUCGCUUUGAAGUGCCACACCUUAAAGCUGACGUUUUCAGAAGAGAACCUUGUUGUUUUAAGAUCUCAUUUUGUCCAACAUUGCGUCCUAUGACAGAUAUAAUACUUAUUUAAUUAUUGCUCUAUGUAUGUGUGACCUUCAUCAUUUGAGGUUAUGUGUUGAUUUCACCUCUGAAUAUUUCCUCUUAUAGGUCCAUCAUCCUUUCAUGCGCUACACAGCAUUGAUAAAUGCUGAAUUUAAAAGAAUCACUACUGUCUUAUGUUCCUGCGUGUCACCUGGACCUCCAAUCCAAAAACCUGACGAAACUCUUCUAUCAGAAAGGAGGACAGCUAGCAAAAAGACUUCAAACAAUUAAUGAUCAAAUGACAGAAGGCAUGGAUGAAGUCAGCAUCAGUGAGGUCAUUUGAAGACACCAAUGUUGGGAUUUGUGCUCUCAAACAACAUGCUUCUUGUGAUGAAGAAGAGGAUCUUUGUAUAGUCCUGGAAGCCAUGAAGGUGUUGCAACAUCGUGUUUGAGCUGAUGUAUGCCUUAAACCUGAUCUCCGCUUUAUUUUUGAGGAAAUCCAAACUGCAUUGAGAGUAACUUUAACGUAGGGCUGGGUAUUGUUAGCAAUUUCACAAUUCGAUUCGAUUUCGAUUCUUGAGGCUUCGAUUCAAUUCGUUUCGAUUCAAUUCAAUAUUGAUUUACUUCCUUCGAUAUCGAUUCAAUAAUAAGUAAAUACACAAGCAAUUAAGUACCCGAGUAUAUUUUUAAAUAAUGUGUGUAGUAUUACUAAUGUUCAGAGGUGGAAAAAGUACUAAAAUAUUUUACUUAAGUAAAAGUAAAGUUACUGGUCUAAAAAUCUACUCAAGUAAAAGUAAAAAGUAAAAAGUAAAUCAUUAAAAAGUUACUUUUUUUACAGCGGGGAGAGGUGGAGGAUUUUAGUAUAGUUCAAAAACGACAAGGGAAUAUAAAUCUCAAACUAGUUAUUUU